CCAGCUGGCCGGGCGGCCGCAGGCGCAAGUGUCGAAAGACCGCGUGUGAGGAAAGUCCGGGCUCCAUGGAAACACGGUGCCGGUUAACUGCCGGCGGGGGCGACCCCAGGGAUAGCGCCACAGAGAGCAGACCGCCCCGCCUGUCUUCCGGCCCGUCGAGCCUUCGGCGGACCGGAAAAUCGGCGGGGUAAGGGUGAAAGGGUGGGGUAAGAGCCCACCGCGCGACCGGUAACGGAAGCGGCACGGCAAGCCCCACCGGGAGCAAGACCGAAUAGGGAUGGCGCGGGAGUUCGCUCCCGGGCAGUUUCCGGCCCAGCCAUCCGGGUAGGUUGCAUCAGGCGGACAGCAAUGUCCGCCGCAGAUGAAUGGCCGCCACGUUCUGGCGCAGCAAUGCGCCGGGGCCAUACAGAACCCGGCUUACAGGCCAGCUGGCAGA
rnacentral:RNase_P_RNA from 1 species